rnacentral:rRNA from 1 species
UGCCCUUGGAGGCGUGGCUUCCGGAGCUAACGCGUUAAGUCGACCGCCUGGGGAGUACGGCCGCAAGGUUAAAACUCAAAUGAAUUGACGGGGGCCCGCACAAGCGGUGGAGCAUGUGGUUUAAUUCGAUGCAACGCGAAGAACCUUACCUGGUCUUGACAUCCACAGAACUUGGCAGAGAUGCCUUGGUGCCUUCGGGAACUGUGAGACAGGUGCUGCAUGGCUGUCGUCAGCUCGUGUUGUGAAAUGUUGGGUUAAGUCCCGCAACGAGCGCAACCCUUAUCCUUUGUUGCCAGCGGUUAGGCCGGGAACUCAAAGGAGACUGCCAGUGAUAAACUGGAGGAAGGUGGGGAUGACGUCAAGUCAUCAUGGCCCUUACGACCAGGGCUACACACGUGCUACAAUGGCGCAUACAAAGAGAAGCAAACUCGCGAGAGCAAGCGGACCUCAUAAAGUGCGUCGUAGUCCGGAUUGGAGUCUGCAACUCGACUCCAUGAAGUCGGAAUCGCUAGUAAUCGUGAAUCAGAAUGUCACGGUGAAUACGUUCCCGGGCCUUGUACACACCGCCCGUCACACCAUGGGAGUGGGUUGCAAAAGAAGUAGGUAGCUUAACCUUCGGGAGGGCGCUUACCACUUUGUGAUUCAUGACUGGGGUGAAGUCGUAA